GAUGAACGCUGGCGGCGUGCUUAACACAUGCAAGUCGAACGAGAAGUGAAGACGGAAACCUUCGGGCGGAAGGCUUUAUUUCGAGUGGCGGACGGGUGAGUAACGCGUGGGUAACCUGCCUCAUACAGGGGGAUAACAGUUGGAAACGACUGUUAAUACCGCAUAAGACCACAGCACCGCAUGGUGCGGGGGUAAAAACUCCGGUGGUAUGAGAUGGACCCGCGUUCGAUUAGCCAGUUGGCGGGGUAACGGCCCACCAAAGCGACGAUCGGUAGCCGAUCUGAGAGGAUGACCGGCCACAUUGGGACUGAGACACGGCCCAAACUCCUACGGGAGGCAGCAGUGGGGAAUAUUGCACAAUGGGGGAAACCCUGAUGCAGCGACGCCGCGUGAGUGAAGAAGUAUUUCGGUAUGUAAAGCUCUAUCAGCAGGGAAGAAAAUGACGGUACCUGAGUAAGAAGCCCCGGCUAACUACGUG
rnacentral:rRNA from 1 species